GGGGGGGGGGGGGGGGGGGGGGGGGGGGGGGGGGGGGGGCGGGGGGGCGCGGCGGGGGUGGGGGGGUCGGGGGGCGAACGGGGGGGGGACACGUGAGUGACCGGCGCUGGACUUGGGGAUGGCUUCGGGGAACCGGGGCGACUACCGGCUAGGAGCUCCUGCUGCAUGGUGGGGGGUGGAAAGUUUCGGCGGUUGGGGAUGGACUCGCGGCUCAUCAGCUUGUUGGUGGGGUAGUGGCUUACCAAGGCUUUGCCGGGUAGCCGGCCUGAGAGGGUGACCGGCCACAUUGGGACUGAGAUACGGCCCAGACUCCUACGGGAGGCAGAAGUGGGGAAUAUUGCACAAUGGGCGGAAGCCUGAUGCAGCAACGCCGCGUGCGGGAUGACGGCCUUCGGGUUGUAAACCGCUUUCGCCUGUGACGAAGCGUGAGUGACGGUAAUGGGUAAAGAAGCACCGGCUAACUACGUG
rnacentral:rRNA from 1 species